AGCAGCGGCUGCACACUCCGCACUGGAAAGGCUUUACGCCGGUGUGUUUCCUGAAAUGGCGCGUCAGCUCAUCGGAUCGAGCGAAGCGCCACUCACAUCCCUCCCAAGAGCACUGGUGUAUGAAGCAUUAACGAGCCUCAUGUCAAUAAUGGUGCCAGUGCAACAAGCUGGAACUGGAAACGCGGGUGUGCCACAACACUGGCACGAAUGGAGACGAGGCUAAGUGACAUUUUAUCAUUUAGAAAAAAAGCUCAGUAUGUCUAAGGAUUUUUUUCCUAAUGUGACAUUUGCAGCCACUCCCAUCCACAUUUUUCUUCAGGCAGUUCUUGUCCUCUUAUUUAUUUAAAUGCUGUAACUGCACCCAGCGUACGCUUGACUGAACCUGUUAUAAACGUGAGUAUCACUGAGGUUCAAUGGGGUCAAAUGUGAGACCUAAAAAACUGUUGAUGCAAUAGAAAAAAUGGAUUAUUUUCAAUUUCUACACUGGAAAAUUCACUAAUUCACUUUAUUUGACAGUACCAAGUGGCAGGUUGUUCAGCUGUGAAUCUCAUGAAGGUCUUUCUGGUUUAAUAAGUUCUCAAAAUUCCUUUUUUUUAAUUUCACAGCCUUCUACAAACUUCCAUUACUUUGAAAUAUUUGCUUUAUUAACUGAUUUUACAUCUUGUAUUUUUAAAAUCAUUAUUAGAGGUUAUUAUUGCUUGUAUUUGUUUCACUUUGUGUGCCGUUAUCAUUAACAUUUCUAAAUAUUAACCACCUGUAUUAUCAGAGUGCGUCUUCCCCAAGAAAAUGUUAAUAUAUUACUCUACGUUUUUCCAUGAUGCAGGACAAAAUCAAAUCAUCUGAAACGUAUUCAAGUGACUGCUGAUCAUCCAAUUGGGAGCUGACUGAUUGCCUGUCAUGUGCUGACCUUUCAAAGUGCAAUUUAAAUCCAUGGAUGUCUCAGAUCCAAGAGGAGCAACUGUCAUUCUUGGCCGUGGCUCUUCCUGUAACGGUGAAUGUGAGCCGAGCCCUCCUCCAUAUCCCCCCGUAUUAAAACCUCACAAUAUGCCCAACAACUGCACAGCGGAGGAGAGAGAAUGCACGGUAUGUGCUUACAGCAUCACAACUCCUCUCUCCUCUCGCAUGGACUAAUAUGGCCAAGCUAAGAGAGGGAAUGGACAAUAAACACUUGCGCCACAUUGCUACAGUGGGCACCAGGCUUUUGCUUUUUCUUCCUUCAAAAGUGUAAAUUAAACCUAACGAGGAUUAGAUUUUGUAAAUGUUUUCUUCUGAAAUUGAUAUUACUCGUGUGUAUUUGUGUGUAUUCUUAGCUUUGUUUAGCUGUGAAUAAUAUCCACAUUUGUAACACAAGAAAUACAAACAAAUCUCAGUUCUGAUCUAUAUUUAGUCGUCUUCCAGCAGGUGCUUGGCACUCCCACCAGAGGGCAAUGGUCAGCUGCAGUUGGAUUGCUUUCUUCAUUUGUGCUUUUCCAUGCUGUAGCUUUGCACUGCUGCACCAGCAGAGCCAAACUGCUUUGCGGGUUUUCCACUCUUAUAUUGUGUAUAAUUACCUUUCAUAGCCAGUGAGUGUAAGCAGCAAUGAAAUGCAUUUUUCUGCAACACUCUGACAGUUUUGUUUAGUGCCACUAAUUUUGAAAGUGAGGUUUUGCUGUUUGAAUGUGUGACACAUACAAGUUAAUUAUAAAACACUGAUUAUUUUUCAUUAUAAAUUGACUUACGAAUUGAUGCAAGGACAAUUGUUUUUUAAAACCUGCAUAAUGCAUAUUUUGUUUGACUUUCUGUAUUCCCUUGAAAACAUCAAGUAGGCAGUCAGCAUUAUAAUUCAUUUGAUGUCAGCUUUACAAAGCCUGCCCUUGAAAAAAUACAAUCAAUAAUUUCUU